rnacentral:rRNA from 1 species
CGGGUGCGUAACACGUGACCAACCUGCCCUCGGUGUGGGGGAUAGCCGGGCUAACGCCCGGGUAAUACCGCAUACGGUCCUCUGGGGGAGUCCCUGGGGAAGAAAGCUCCGGCGCACGGGGAGGGGGUCGCGGCCUAUCAGCUAGUUGGUGCGGUAACGGCGCACCAAGGCGACGACGGGUAGCUGGUCUGAGAGGAUGGCCAGCCACAUUGGGACUGAGAGACGGCCCAG